AUGCUAAAAGGAAAGCUUAGAUGGGAUCUGUGGUCAGGGACAAUUUCUACUUCUGAAGAUGAAAUUCCUCCUGUACUUUCUUCAUCAGUCUCUUCUAAAGUUUCCAUUCUCAGGGUUCUGCUAAUUCAAACUCUUCUUGUCAGCAGAAUUCAGUAUACAAUCCAAAAAGAAGAGAACAAGAUUCCAUAUAAUGCGCUGUUCCGAGGAAAUGUUAACAGUCAAUGUCUGCAGCUGACAUCCGCUAAAACAAUGCAGCACAAGAUCUAA
rnacentral:lncRNA from 1 species